AGCCCUUCCUCCAUGGGUCGGCCAGGAUGGCAUCUGGUGUCUCAAAGGCCAGAGGCAGGUGAAGCCUGGCUCUUCUACCCUUGGAGAGGCACUCAAAGAAGGCUCAGAACAGGUGAGCAGAAGGCAAGAGACAGGAAAGGAAGCCAGGCAGUGAGGUCAUCAGGAGGUCACAUUGUGGAGCCAGAGGUCAGAGCACUUUGAGAUCUGCACAGGAAGCACACAGCUCUGGUUACCACUGGAAGCCGUCUUGCCCCCACAAGCCAGCCUUAAGAUGCUGCUGAUGCUGGGAUUGCAGAAUGGAGUAACAGAGAAGUAAGUUGUUG
rnacentral:lncRNA from 1 species